rnacentral:rRNA from 1 species
GAUGAACGCUAGCGGCAGGCUUAAUACAUGCAAGUCGAGGGGCAGCAGGUCUGUAGCAAUACAGAUGCUGGCGACCGGCAAACGGGUGCGGAACACGUACAGAACCUUCCUUCGAGUGGGAGAUAGCCCAGGGAAACUUGGAGUAAUACCCCAUAGGAUAGUAGAGUGGCAUCACUGAGCUCUUAAAGAUUCAUCGCUCGAAGAUGGCUGUGCGGCUGAUUAGGUAGUUGGCGGGGUAACGGCCCACCAAGCCUUCGAUCAGUAACUGGUGUGAGCGCACGACAAGUCACACGGGCACUGGGGCACGGGGCCGACUCCUACGGGAGGCAGCAGUAAGGAAUAUUGGGCAAUGGAGGCAACUCUGAUCCAGCGAUGCCGCGUGAGUGAAGAAGGCCUUCGGGUUGUAAAGCACUUUAGCCUGGAAAGAAAAAACUUUGGUUAACACCCAAAGUCUUGACGGUACCAGGAGAAUAAGCACCGGCUAACUCUGUGCCAGCAGCCGCAGUAAAAC